UACAGAGGGGGCAAGCGUUAUUCGGAAUUAUUGGGCGUAAAGAGCUUGUAGGCGGUUUGUCGCGUCUGCCGUGAAAAUCCGAGGCUCAACCUCGGACUUGCGGUGGGUACGGGCAGACUAGAGUGUGGUAGGGGAGACUGGAAUUCCUGGUGUAGCGGUGAAAUGCGCAGAUAUCAGGAGGAACACCGAUGGCGGAGGCAGGUCUCUGGGCCACUACUGACGCUGAGAAGCGAAAGCGUGGGGAGCGAACAGG
rnacentral:rRNA from 1 species